rnacentral:lncRNA from 1 species
ACAUGUACUAAUAAAAAUUAAAAUUUAUUUUUAAAAAAGCAGGUAAAGAAUGAGCAACUGAGUCACAUUAUAGGUAGCAGGACCCAAGGUCGUAAAAGUCCAUGCACACGCAUCUCAGAGGCUGCCUGCUCUGAUCAAGCUCAGAAAGAAAAGAAAAAGGCAAUUUUGACCCUGAGGCAGAGGAAGAGUUCUAGACUGCAGCAGUUUCAGAAGGCUUUGGUGGGGCUGGACUGGGAAUGCUGGCUGCAACCUUCGGAGUAUGGAGUGCUGGAGGGUACCUUUGGAGAUCUACGAGGACUCAUAUGGCACUGAGGAGGGGAAAAGACUCAGGUAUUUGUAGUCUGCUAGAAAACAAGAGAGUCUUAUGAGGAAUAGCCAAAAU